UACAGAGGUGGCAAGCGUUGUUCGGAAUUACUGGGCGUAAAGGGCGAGUAGGUGGCCUUCUAAGUCAGACGUGAAAUCCCCCGGCUUAACCUGGGAACCGCGUCUGAUACUGGACGGCUUGAGUAUGGGAGAGGAACGUAGAAUUCCAGGUGUAGCGGUGAAAUGCGUAGAUAUCUGGAGGAAUACCGGUGGCGAAGGCGGCGUUCUGGACCAUUACUGACACUGAAUCGCGAAAGCUAGGGGAGCAAACGGG
rnacentral:rRNA from 1 species